rnacentral:rRNA from 1 species
GAACGGCAGCACGGGUGCUUGCACCUGGUGGCGAGUGGCGAACGGGUGAGUAAUACAUCGGAACAUGUCCUGUAGUGGGGGAUAGCCCGGCGAAAGCCGGAUUAAUACCGCAUACGAUCUACGGAUGAAAGCGGGGGACCUUCGGGCCUCGCGCUAUAGGGUUGGCCGAUGGCUGAUUAGCUAGUUGGUGGGGUAAAGGCCUACCAAGGCGACGAUCAGUAGCUGGUCUGAGAGGACGACCAGCCACACUGGGACUGAGACACGGCCCAGACUCCUACGGGAGGCAGCAGUGGGGAAUUUUGGACAAUGGGCGAAAGCCUGAUCCAGCAAUGCCGCGUGUGUGAAGAAGGCCUUCGGGUUGUAAAGCACUUUUGUCCGGAAAGAAAUCCUUGGUUCUAAUAUAGCCGGGGGAUGACGGUACCGGAAGAAUAAGCACCGGCUAACUACGUGCCAGCAGCCGCGGUAAUACGUAGGGUGCGAGCGUUAAUCGGAAUUACUGGGCGUAAAGCGUGCGCAGGCGGUUUGCUAAGACCGAUGUGAAAUCCCCGGGCUCAACCUGGGAACUGCAUUGGUGACUGGCAGGCUAGAGUAUGGCAGAGGGGGGUAGAAUUCCACGUGUAGCAGUGAAAUGCGUAGAGAUGUGGAGGAAUACCGAUGGCGAAGGC